rnacentral:rRNA from 1 species
CGGACGGGUGAGUAACACUUAGGAAUCUAUCCAGUAGCUGGGGAUAACGUGGGGAAACUCACGCUAAUACCGAAUACGCACUACGGUGGAAAGAGGGGGAUCUUCGGACCUCGUGCUACUAAAUGGGCCUAUAUCAGAUUAGCUAGUUGGUAAGGUAAUGGCUUACCAAGGCGACGAUCUGUAGCUGGUUUGAGAGAAUGAUCAGCCACACUGGGACUGAGACACGGCCCAG